CUCGCAGCUUCGCCAGAAGCUACGAAGGGGGCCUCACCCCGGGAAGGGGAGAGUGGUCGAGUGGUUAAAAGCGACAGACUGUAAAUCUGUUGAAGUUUUUCUACGUAGGUUCGAAACCUGCCUCUCCCAC
rnacentral:tRNA from 1 species